rnacentral:rRNA from 1 species
UUUUGGACAGUGGGCGCAAGCCUGAUCCAGCAAUGCCGCGUGAGUGAAGAAGGCCUUCGGGUUGUAAAGCUCUUUUGUCAGGGAAGAAACGGUGGACUCUAAUACAGAUCACUAAUGACGGUACCUGAAGAAUAAGCACCGGCUAACUACGUGCCAGCAGCCGCGGUAAUACGUAGGGUGCAAGCGUUAAUCGGAAUUACUGGGCGUAAAGCGUGCGCAGGCGGUUUGGUAAGACAGAUGUGAAAUCCCUGGGCUCAACCUAGGAAUUGCAUUUGUACUGCCCACUAGAGUGUGUCAGGGGGGGGAGAUUCCACGUGAGCAGUAAAUGCGAAAAAAUGUGAGAAUCCAUGGCGAGGAGCCCCCUGGGAACUCUGCGUCUCCAGAUUGAUACGU